CAGUACAUUAAAUUUACUCAUAAAAACAUUCUAAAAAUGUACAAUUUUUCCUUUUUAACAAAGUAUAAUAAAACAUAAAAACCCCAAAAACAGAAUACUUGACAUUUACAAUUCAAAAUCAAAUUAGCAGACUGGCCGGCGCGCCCCUCCCUCCAGUAACAGUGUAGUAACAUUGACCUUUGGCCUCAACCAGCACAGUACGUAGUUUGCAAGUGUUGAUUAAAGAUACUCACUUUGAUUCAGAACCUCAGGACUUUUAAUUGAGCCUCUUCAGAACCCAUGGAUGUAAAUGUCACCUGCCUCAUUCUUUGGGAGUCAUCUGCACUUUGGAAAGGACGGCCACCUCACUCAGGGUCCACGGGCCCAUCCACUGGACGGGUGGUCGAGCUGAGCAGGGUCACGGUUUCCCUUACAACCUUUAAGACUCUUGGACAUGUAACGCCAUCAGUUAUCAGCGUGUAAAACUAGCAAGGCAUCUAGUAAGCCACCACAGAAGCAGGAAGAGUGACAGUGACGGAGCGAGGAGGGUGCGACCCAAG
rnacentral:lncRNA from 1 species